rnacentral:rRNA from 1 species
GACGAACGCUGGCGGCGUGCUUAACACAUGCAAGUCGAACGGUAAGGCCCUUCGGGGUACACGAGUGGCGAACGGGUGAGUAACACGUGGGUGAUCUGCCCUGCACCUCGGGAUAAGCCUGGGAAACUGGGUCUAAUACCGGAUAGGACUCCUGCCUGCAUGGGUGGGGGUGGAAAGCUUUUGUGGUGUGGGAUGGGCCCGCGGCCUAUCAGCUUGUUGGUGGGGUGAUGGCCUACCAAGGCGACGACGGGUAGCCGGCCUGAGAGGGUGACCGGCCACACUGGGACUGAGAUACGGCCCAGACUCCUACGGGAGGCAGCAGUGGGGAAUAUUGCCCAAUGGGCGCAAGCCUGAUGCAGCGACGCCGCGUGAGGGAUGACGGCCUUCGGGUUGUAAACCUCUUUCAGCACAGACGAAGCGCAAGUGACGGUAUGUGCAGAAGAAGGACCGGCCAACUACGUGCCAGCCGCCGCGGUAA